CUGGCGGUCGACGUCGCUGAGGGUCUCGG
rnacentral:ribozyme from 1 species